GCCGAAGUGGUGGAAUUGGUAGACACGCCAUCUUGAGGGGGUGGUGCUCUAAUGAGCGUACGAGUUCAAAUCUCGUCUUCGGCACCA
rnacentral:tRNA from 3 species